GCUGGGCGUGGUGGCGCAUGCCUGUAAUCCCAGCAGCUCAGGAGCUGAGGCAGGAGGAUCCUGAGUUCAAAGCAAACCUCAGCAACCAAGUGAGGGACUAAGCAACUCAGUGAGAACCUGUGUCUA
rnacentral:sRNA from 1 species